UACGUAGGGUGCAAGCGUUGUCCGGAAUUAUUGGGCGUAAAGGGCUCGUAGGCGGUCCAUCGCGUCGGGAGUGAAAAGCUGGGGCUUAACCCCAGUCCUGCUUCCGAUACGGGUGGACUAGAGGUAGGUAGGGGAGAUCGGAAUUCCUGGUGUAGCGGUGAAAUGCGCAGAUAUCAGGAGGAACACCAAUGGCGAAGGCAGCUCGCUGGGACGGUACUGACGCUGAGCAGCGAAAGCGUGGGGAGCAAACAGG
rnacentral:rRNA from 1 species